CAUUCAACUAUGAUUAAUUUUUUCACUAAUCCUCAAAUUCAUAAUCUGUAGCUUGAUAUUUACCAAUUAAUCAAUCUGCAACAUCACGUGCCAAAAGUGCCUUUCAUCUUGACAUAAUUAGCGCACAUUUUCCCAUCCUCUCUCCUUUCCCAGAAGCGUCAGUGUCAUCCCAGCAUUUCUGCCAAAUGAAACGUUACAAUUAGAGAAGAAAAAAUGUAUAGAACAAGCCUGACAUAACCGUUUUCGUCCGCUUUGAAACGCUCGCACGAGCAACCUCUUCCCGCGCGAUGGUUGCCUGCUGCACAGUCGACUUUCCGCAAUCGACAGUGUUUUGCUUCGGAACGAUUCUCGACUUGGCGCCCUAUCGACAUCGAGAUCGUUGGUCACCGACCGACUCUCGCCGGAAUCGAGAGAUCAGACCGUCUGCGACUGUUGACCACGAGGGGACAGGCUCGAGGUCAACGAUUCCCUCCAUGCUUGUAAACUUAAGAACCACAUGAUUGCCGCAGACGGUACGCCUCCUCGCGCCACCUGAGAGCCUGCUGAAUAAGUACCAAUAAAGUCUGAGGUCGGGACCGUCGCAGUGAACUUUCGAACGGGUCCGACGGACUUCUCUGGCUACUGUUAUAUAAUAGUACAGUAAUAUAAUGUAAUAUAUAUAUAAUAAUAAAUAAUAAUAAUAAUAAUAGUAAUAAAUAUAUAAUAGUACAGUAAUAUGAUAUAAUAUAUAUAUGAUAUAAUAUAUAUAAUAAUAAAUAAUAUUAAUAAACAGUAAUACUGUUCUGUGGCUUGUGUUUUUCAAUGAAUUUUUAUUUAAAGAACAGUGGACACUUGUAAGGAAAAUCCAUUGAUUGAUUUCUUAACAGAUUCUCUUAUAUUGGAAUAUUAUUUUAAUGGCUUUCAGUGUGUAGCAAGAGGUUAACCCCUGAUUAUAUGGAUACACCGUGACACGUGGUUGGUUUAAUUAAUUUCAAGUUCAAAGAAAGUUAGACACCUCAAGUCAAGUUAACCCCUGACCAUAUGCAUACAUCAUUACACUAACGUACUUCAAUGAACCUUAGGUUCAAAGAACACCACAUGACCAACUCCAAGUUAACUGCUGAUAUAUAGUGAGCUUCGCAGAAACCUAAAUGAGUAAGCCUGAAGAACCGGAUACUAACUGUAUAACUCAGUAGAUAAGGAGAAAUCUUAGAAAUUAAGUUUAUUAAAUAACUGUAAGCGAUUCUUGGCCACAGUGGACAUGUUGGCAACAUAAGUUUCGUUGCCUGUAGUCGUAGUUACAGAGCCGUUGCUUAGAAUUGCAUCUAAAUUGCAUUUAGAAGGCGGGACUGAAGUGUCCUCGCGGCUGUUCCCCUCAACAUGUUGCCGCACACACGACGCCUUCUGCAUUUGACCGCGGUGUCGUCUGCGCAGGCCGCCAAUUGGCGCGUUUUCAAUGUUUAAGAGCGCUUUCCUGAAUAGUGGGGCGAACGAUGCGCAGCGCGGCCACUCCGCGUUACUCCCUUUUCAUGCGGAGAACAGCAACGGAGUGAAGCAGCCACCUGCUGGCUCGAAUCCUCCUGCGAUGCCUGCUUCCUUGGUACUCGGAGAGCUCGUUAACACUGGCCUGCCUCACGCUUGUGCAUUAGGCUUGUUACGGGGAAAUCGACGCGAGAGCGAAAGAGAGAGAGAGAGAAAACACUAACGUAGUCCGUAGACACGAGGAUAGUUAGGUGUUAGAAAUGAACGGAGGUACGAACCCGUAGGCUGUUGCCAGAACUAAUGAAUCUUUAUUAUCCAAAGCUUCCUUUUUAUACAGUGGCGUCGGUGGCCAUGACAGGUACAAAGUUUGAGUGACAAAGAUGUAUGCCUAGGUUGGGGUAUCUUCGUAGGGGUGACUAAGAGUGAUAUUUGAAGGGCCUAUCGGUGAAUCAGCGUGUUUGGCUGUUACACGCUUGUGCAUCAGGCUGUGUGUAUUACCGUCGCCGACAAAAUGGCUGGUCGGUGGAUCCGUUUCACCAGUGAACUACAGAUAUUUAUGCUCAUGAAUCAAUUUGCAGCAAUUGCAAUGGUGGAAUGGAUUCUUUAAACUCUUGUGACUCUCUUGUGUCUCAAAUUAAUGAGUUCAAAUUGUAAACGUAUGAAGUCCAGUUAUAAUUUUUGAGAUCUCUUUGGAAUGGAUUCUUUGUUGAA